rnacentral:rRNA from 1 species
GAUGAACGCUGGCGGCGUGCCUAAUACAUGCAAGUCGAGCGAACGGACGAGAAGCUUGCUUCUCUGAUGUUAGCGGCGGACGGGUGAGUAACACGUGGAUAACCUACCUAUAAGACUGGGAUAACUUCGGGAAACCGGAGCUAAUACCGGAUAAUAUUUUGAACCGCAUGGUUCAAAAGUGAAAGACGGUCUUGCUGUCACUUAUAGAUGGAUCCGCGCUGCAUUAGCUAGUUGGUAAGGUAACGGCUUACCAAGGCAACGAUGCAUAGCCGACCUGAGAGGGUGAUCGGCCACACUGGAACUGAGACACGGUCCAGACUCCUACGGGAGGCAGCAGUAGGGAAUCUUCCGCAAAGGGCGAAAGCCUGACGGAGCAACGCCGCGUGAGUGAUGAAGGUCUUCGGAUCGUAAAACUCUGUUAUUAGGGAAGAACAUGUGUGUAAGUAACUGUGCACAUCUUGACGGUACCUAAUCAGAAAGCCACGGCUAACUACGUG